UCUGUACAGACCCUGGCUUU
rnacentral:miRNA from 1 species